GAUGAACGCUGGCGGCGUGCUUAACACAUGCAAGUCGAACGGUGAAGCAGGAGCUUGCUCCUGUGGAUCAGUGGCGAACGGGUGAGUAACACGUGAGCAAUCUGCCCUGGACUCUGGGAUAAGCGUUGGAAACGACGUCUAAUACCGGAUACGAGGCGUGGGGGCAUCCCCAACGCCUGGAAAGAACUUCGGUCCAGGAUGAGCUCGCGGCCUAUCAGGUAGUUGGUGAGGUAACGGCUCACCAAGCCUACGACGGGUAGCCGGCCUGAGAGGGUGACCGGCCACACUGGGACUGAGACACGGCCCAGACUCCUACGGGAGGCAGCAGUGGGGAAUAUUGCACAAUGGGCGCAAGCCUGAUGCAGCAACGCCGCGUGAGGGACGACGGCCUUCGGGUUGUAAACCUCUUUUAGCAGGGAAGAAGCGAAAGUGACGGUACCUGCAGAAAAAGCACCGGCUAACUACGUGCCAGCCGCCGCAGUAA
rnacentral:rRNA from 1 species